GAUGAGCGCUGGCGGCGUGCCUAAUACAUGCAAGUCGAGCGAACAGACGAGGAGCUUGCUCCUCUGACGUUAGCGGCGGAUGGGUGAGUAACACGUGGAUAACCUACCUAUAAGACUGGGAUAACUUCGGGAAACCGGAGCUAAUACCGGAUAAUAUAUUGAACCGCAUGGUUCAAUAGUGAAAGACGGUUUUGCUGUCACUUAUAGAUGGAUCCGCGCCGCAUUAGCUAGUUGGUAAGGUAACGGCUUACCAAGGCAACGAUGCGUAGCCGACCUGAGAGGGUGAUCGGCCACACUGGAACUGAGACACGGUCCAGACUCCUACGGGAGGCAGCAGUAGGGAAUCUUCCGCAAUGGGCGAAAGCCUGACGGAGCAACGCCGCGUGAGUGAUGAAGGUCUUCGGAUCGUAAAACUCUGUUAUUAGGGAAGAACAAAUGUGUAAGUAACUAUGCACGUCUUGACGGUACCUAAUCAGAAAGCCACGGCUAACUACGUG
rnacentral:rRNA from 1 species